UACAGAGGGUGCAAGCGUUGUUCGGAAUUAUUGGGCGUAAAGCGCGUGUAGGCGGCUUUGCAAGUCGGGUGUGAAAGCCCUCAGCUCAACUGAGGAAGUGCGCCCGAAACUGCAGAGCUUGAGUACCGGAGAGGGUGGCGGAAUUCCCCAAAGUAGAGGUGAAAUUCGUAGAUAUGGGGAGGAACACCGGUGGCGAAGGCGGCCGACCUGGACGGUCACUGACGCUGAGACGCGAAAGCGUGGGGAGCAAACAGG
rnacentral:rRNA from 1 species